rnacentral:lncRNA from 1 species
AAUAGAAAAAAAAAAAUAAAAUAUAAAGAAUAAAUAAAUAAAAAUCACAGAAAUUUGGAAUUUUGGAAAAAGGAAAAAAAAAAAAAAAAAAAAAAAAAAAAAAAUAUUUUACUUACAGCAUUCAUAAUGUAUCUUGCAGGAUUUAUUUAUUCAAAUAUUUGCGUACAGGCAAUAACUUAGAGGUAGAUACAUGUAGUUAUAAACAUCGACUAAAACAUCAAGCAUAUAUAUAUAUAUAUAAACCAACAUAUAACAGUAUCAAAUCAUUAAACAUAGGUGGUGAUGUGGAUAAGGAAAGAAAUGUACAUAAAAA